rnacentral:tRNA from 2 species
GUACCAAUAGCUGAAUGGAUUCAAGCAUCAAUCUUCUAAAUUGAAUUAUGUGGGUUCGAGUCCCAUUUGGUACA